rnacentral:misc_RNA from 1 species
GAUGAAGAACGUAGCGAAAUGCGAUAAGUAAUGUGAAUUGCAGAAUUCAGUGAAUCAUCGAAUCUUUGAACGCACAUUGCGCCCGCCAGUAUUCUGGCGGGCAUGCCUGUUCGAACGUCAUUACAACCCUCAGGCCCCCGGGCCUGGCGUUGGGGAUCGGCGGAGCCCCCCGUGGGCACACGCCGUCCCCCAAAUGCAGUGGCGGUCCCGCCGCAGCUUCCAUCGCGUAGUAGCUAACACCUCGCGACUGGAGAGCGGCGCGGCCACGCCGUAAAACACCCAACUCUUCUGAAGUUGACCUCGAAUCAGGUAGGAAUACCCGCUGAACUUAAGCAUAUCAAUAAGCGGAGGA